GUAGGGAGCAAGCGUUGUUCGGAUUUACUGGGCGUAAAGGGCGCGUAGGCGGCGCGGUAAGUCACUUGUGAAAUCUCUGAGCUUAACUCAGAACGGCCAAGUGAUACUGCAGUGCUAGAGUGCAGAAGGGGCAAUCGGAAUUCUUGGUGUAGCGGUGAAAUGCGUAGAUAUCAAGAGGAACACCUGAGGUGAAGACGGGUUGCUGGGCUGACACUGACGCUGAGGCGCGAAAGCUAGGGGAGCAAACGGGAUUAGAUACCCCGGUAGUCCUAGCCCUAAACGAUGAAUACUUGGUGUCUGGAGUUUCAAGACUUCGGGUGCCGUCGCUAACGUUUUAAGUAUUCCGCCUGGGGAGUACGCUCGCAAGAAAG
rnacentral:rRNA from 1 species